GUCUGGUGCCAGCAGCCGCGGUAAUUCCAGCUCUGAUAGCGUAUAUUAAAGUUGUUGCAGUUAAAAAGCUCGUAGUUGGAUUUUAGAGUAUAUUGAUAUGGUCUCUUGUGAUAAACUUGUUGUACUGUAUUAAUUACUCUUUCCUACUGGUUACUCGACUCUGUUCUUUAUUGCAUGGAGUAGUGUCGCAAGGCAUCGCUUAGUAUUUUAUUGCUUUUAGAUGUAGUAAUUGGGUAAAACUGGUUAUGAAACCUAAGGGAUCACAGUAAAGUAUUAAGUGGGGUUCCAGUUCAUUUACUUUGAGUAAAUUAGAGUGUUCAAAGCAGCCUGUAUGGGCAUUGAAUAGAUUAGCAUGGGAUAAUAGAAUAGGAUUCUUACCUAUUUAUUGGUUUAUAGGUUUAGAAUAAUG
rnacentral:rRNA from 1 species